GAUGGAUGAUGAUGAUGAUGAUGAUGAUGAUGAUGAUGAUGCCCAUAGUGAUGCCUAUGGUGAUGAUGAUGGACAUUUUCAUUAUCAUCGCUAGUAUCAUCGCUAGUU
rnacentral:miRNA from 1 species